UGGGGAAUAUUGGACAAUGGGGGCAACCCUGAUCCAGCCAUGCCGCGUGUGUGAAGAAGGCCUUUUGGUUGUAAAGCACUUUAAGCAGUGAAGAAGAUCUAUUGGCUAAUACCUGAUAGUGAUGACAUUAGCUGCAGAAUAAGCACCGGCUAACUCUGUGCCAGCAGCCGCGGUAAUACAGAGGGUGCGAGCGUUAAUCGGAAUUACUGGGCGUAAAGCGAGCGUAGGUGGUUUAAUAAGUCAGAUGUGAAAUCCCCGGGCUUAACCUGGGAACUGCAUCUAAAACUGUUAGACUAGAGUAGAUGAGAGGGAGGUAGAAUUUCAGGUGUAGCGGUGAAAUGCGUAGAGAUCUGAAGGAAUACCGAUGGCGAAGGCAGCCUCCUGGCAUCAUACUGACACUGAGGUUCGAAAGCGUGGGUAGCAAACA
rnacentral:rRNA from 1 species